GAUUCCUGUAAAACCGGUCACCCCUUCGCUCCACGCUGGUAAAUCUGCAGAUAGGGAGUCGUUUGGCUGUCUCAGUUGGUUUCCAGUACGAGAGACCAGAACGCGUUUGACCCAUUCUGUACACGGUAGACCUGAGCCCUAGGACCAUGCCUCAUGAUGACUCCUUGCUGUCCCCAGUCCACCUGACUGUGCUGCUGCUCCAGUUUCAACUGUUCUGCCUGUGAUUAUUAUUAUUUGACCAUGCUGGUCAUUUAUGAACAUUUGAAUAUCUUGGCCAUGUUCUGUUAUAAUCUCCACCCGGCACAGCCAGAAGAGGACUGGCCACCCCACAUAGCCUGGUUCCUCUCUAGGUUUCUUCCUACGUUUUGGCCUUUCUAGGGAGUUUUUCCUAGCCACCGUGCUUCUACACCUGCAUUGCUUGCUGUUUGGGGUUCUAGGCUGGGUUUCUGCACAGCACUUUGAGAUGUCAGCUGAUGUACGAAGGGCUAUAUAUAAAUACAUUUGAUUUGA